UACGGAGGGUGCGAGCGUUGUCCGGAAUCAUUGGGCGUAAAGGGCUCGUAGGCGGCCAACUAAGUCAGACGUGAAAUCCCUCGGCUUAACCGGGGAACUGCGUCUGAUACUGGAUGGCUUGAGUUUGGGAGAGGGAUGCGGAAUUCCAGGUGUAGCGGUGAAAUGCGUAGAUAUCUGGAGGAACACCGGUGGCGAAGGCGGCAUCCUGGACCAACACUGACGCUGAGUGAGCGAAAGCCAGGGGAGCAAACGGG
rnacentral:rRNA from 1 species